rnacentral:ribozyme from 12 species
UAAAAAAGGAAAGACAAAAUAGUAUGCUCCUAUCAGCGGUUUUUUAACCGAGUUAUGACUGGAAGAAAUUCCACUUUGUUUGUUCUCUUUUUUUUUUCUCCCCUUCUUCCAA